rnacentral:rRNA from 1 species
UCCAGACUCCUACGGGAGGCAGCAGUGGGGGAUAUUGGACAAUGGGGGAAACCCUGAUCCAGCGACGCCGCGUGAGUGAAGAAGUAUUUCGGUAUGUAAAGCUCUGUCGGCAGGGAAGAAAGAAAUGACGGUACCUGACCAAGAAGCCCCGGCUAACUACGUGCCAGCAGCCGCGGUAAUACGUAGGGAGCGAGCGUUGUCCGGAAUUACUGGGUGUAAAGGGAGCGUAGGCGGGACUGCAAGUUGGGUGUCAAAUCUACCGGCUCAACCGGUAGCCGCACUCAAAACUGCAGUUCUUGAGUGAAGUAGAGGCAGGCGGAAUUCCUAGUGUAGCGGUGAAAUGCGUAGAUAUUAGGAGGAACACCAGUGGCGAAGGCGGCCUGCUGGGCUUUUACUGACGCUGAGGCUCGAAAGUGUGGGGAGCAAACAGGAUUAGAUACCCGGGUAC